ACACUUACUUGGUCCAAACAAGCACAACCGGUUCCCCAGUGUCUCAUCAAAGAGGACGACAGCUACCCAACGUCCCAUCCAAGGGCUCACUGGAUCGAAAAGAUGGAGAGGAGAUGAAUAAUUCUUAUCAAGGAGGACCAAUGGCGUAUCAAACACCUCACCCCAUCCACUACCGAGUCCCCUCCCCUCUCCAACACCAGCCAUCAAUUCCUGUCCAGCAACAUCCUCCACAACCUCUCAUACGCCAACUAUCUGCCCCUGUACAGUACCAAAACCAGCCCCCUGUAUAUUACCAAGGCCCACCCUCUGCUCUGUAUCAAGCUCCUCCCCCUGUCCAGUCCCCAGCCCCUUCCCCAGCCCCUGUUGUAACCUCUCCCAGCCCCUGUUGUAACCUCUCCUCCAGCCCCAACACCUGCCCCAGUUGUAACCUCUCCUCCAGCCCCUGCCCCAGCAGUACCUUCUCCUCCAGCCCCUGCCCCAACACCUGCCUCAGUUGUAACCUCUCCUCCAGCCCCUGCCCCAAUUGUAACCUCUACUCCAGCCCCUGCCCCAGCACCUGCCCCAGUUGUAACCUCUCCUCCAGCCCCUUCCCCAGAGCCAGCCCCUGCCCUCCCCCAGCC